UACGGAGGGGGCUAGCGUUGUUCGGAAUUACUGGGCGUAAAGCGCACGUAGGCGGCUUUGUAAGUUAGCGGUGAAAGCCCGGGGCUCAACUCCGGAAUUGCCUUUAAGACUGCAUCGCUAGAAUUGUGGAGAGGUAAGUGGAAUUCCGAGUGUAGAGGUGAAAUUCGUAGAUAUCAGGAGGAACACCUGCGGUGUAGACGGCUUUCUGGACCAUUGUUGACGCUGAGACACGAAAGCGUGGGUAGCAAACAGG
rnacentral:rRNA from 1 species